AAAGCUUCUACAAAUAUCCAUGUACAAGUUUUGUGUGAAAAGUUUCUACUCCCUCAGUUUGUAUGGUUCCUGAGGAGACAUUGGAUGUAAUUCUUACUCUGCUGCUCUGUUGGACUGCAGUGGCUCAAUCUUGGCUGACUGCAACCUGCCAUUCGCAAAGCCCC